UGAAAUAAUGGUUCCCAUACAAUCACCAAAGUUAAGCAACAUUGAGACUGCUCAGUACCUAGACGGGUGACUGCUUGGGAAUACCAGGUGCUGUAAG
rnacentral:rRNA from 1 species